rnacentral:tRNA from 2 species
GGAGAGGUGUCCGAGCGGCCGAAGGUGAUUGACUCGAAAUCAAUUGUCCCGAAAGGGACCGGGAGUUCGAAUCUCCCCCUCUCCGCCA